GACGAACGCUGGCGGCGUGCUUAACACAUGCAAGUCGAACGAAGAGCGAUGGACGCUUGCUUCUCUCAAUCUUAGUGGCGAACGGGUGAGUAACGCGUAAUCAACCUGCCCUUCAGAGGGGGACAACAGUUGGAAACGACUGCUAAUACCGCAUACGAUCUAAUCUCGGCAUCGAGGAUAGAUGAAAGGUGGCCUCUACAUGUAAGCUAUCACUGAAGGAGGGGAUUGCGUCUGAUUAGCUAGUUGGAGGGGUAACGGCCCACCAAGGCGAUGAUCAGUAGCCGGUCUGAGAGGAUGAACGGCCACAUUGGGACUGAGACACGGCCCAGACUCCUACGGGAGGCAGCAGUGGGGAAUCUUCCGCAAUGGACGAAAGUCUGACGGAGCAACGCCGCGUGAGCGAUGACGGCCUUCGGGUUGUAAAGCUCUGUUAAUCGGGACGAAAGGCCUUCUUGCGAAUAGUGAGAAGGAUUGACGGUACCGGAAUAGAAAGCCACGGCUAACUAC
rnacentral:rRNA from 1 species